rnacentral:lncRNA from 1 species
GGAUAGUAAUAAGAGCUUCCUUUGUUUGGUUAUCUCUCAUGGGUUAUGCCCUGGUAUAUGAACUUUGAGGACCGUGUCCCACAGGCUCUUCAUAACAACUCUUCCAGGUUAAACAGAGAAGGAGAAUAACAAUUAAGGAGUUGCCUCUAUGCAAGAGAUUGCUUUGAGAACUUCCAAAUGGCUCCUUCCUAUAGGACAGAGAGGGAACAAGCUCUACACUCUCACUAGCAAACUCAAAGAUCCAGGACUUCCUGGGAAUUGA